CUUUCCCAACAGCUGGGGAGAGAGCUGCUGCCAGCUGUGAGCACAGUGCCAGCGGGAGCCUGCAGAGCAUCACAUCCCUACAGCUCACAGCCAGGGACGUGUCCCCUCCCUGUGCCAGAGCCCUGAGACAAGGACACUGCUCUGGGACAGGCAGCAGCACAACCCUGUAGCCUGACCAGGGAUCUUGGCAUCCACAUGCAGGCAUCCCCAAGUCUUGAUUGAGUGGGACCCUGCCAGGAGGAGGCAGCUGGGAGGGCAGAACUGCUCAGGUAUGGUGCUUGGGGCUGCACACCUGUGUGCCUGGGGCUGGGCACACAUGUCCCUGGGGCAUCCCUAUCCCCUUGGGCUCCUGAUGCCACGAGCUCAACCUCUGCUGGGUCUGGCUCCUACCUGCAGCAGGAGGGCAGAGCUGCCUGCAUUGCCCAGCCCUGCAGGGAGGGGAGGUCAGACUGGGGCAUGAGGGUGAUGUCUGCCAGGGCUCUUUGCUUUCUCCACUGGGAACCAGUCGAGCCAGCAGGUGAGGAGCAGUGUCAGUGGGCAAGCAGGGGACAUGUGUGACACACCGGGCUCUGGGAGUGGCUCCCAGCCUGGCCAGCCAUGAGCAGCUCCUGCGGGAAGGCAGCAAGCACAGGGAGAUGGACCUUGAGACAGGGCAAGGGCUCAUCGGUAUGUUUGGGUUCAUCUUGGGCAUCGGGCUGGCCUUGCUGAUCCUGAUCAUCUCUGGCUACACCGUUUUCCUUUGCUACCACCAGGGCUGGUGCUGGUGCAGUGAGUAUGGGCAGAGCAGGGGACGAGCAGCUGCAGGGCGG